GGGAUGGUAGCUCAGCUGGUUAGAGCGCUGCCCUGUCACGGCAGAGGUCGCGGGUCCGAGUCCCGUCCAUCCCG
rnacentral:tRNA from 1 species